GAUGAACGCUGGCGGCGUGCUUAACACAUGCAAGUCGAACGGAAAGGCCAGUGCUUGCACUGGUACUCGAGUGGCGAACGGGUGAGUAACACGUGGGUGAUCUGCCCUGUACUUCGGGAUAAGCUUGGGAAACUGGGUCUAAUACCGGAUAGGACAACUUUUUGGAUAUUGUUGUGGAAAGCUUUUGCGGUAUGGGAUGAGCUCGCGGCCUAUCAGCUUGUUGGUGGGGUAAUGGCCUACCAAGGCGUCGACGGGUAGCCGGCCUGAGAGGGUGUACGGCCGAAGUGGGAGGGAGGGAGGGCGCAGACGCAGGGGGGAGGUGGAGGGGGGAAGUAUAACAGAGUGGGCGCCGGCGGGGGGCAGCGAGGCGGCGGGGGGGGUGCGGUCCUGAGGGGUGUCGCCUCUUUGCGUUAGGGACGAUGUUUUGUGGGGCCGGUAGAGGGAGAAGAAGCACGGGCUAACGGCGUGCCAGCGGCCGCGGUAAUAGGGGGAGUAGCCGACGUCUGACC
rnacentral:rRNA from 1 species